rnacentral:rRNA from 1 species
GACCCCCUACGGGGGGCAGCAGUGGGGAAUAUUGCGCAAUGGGGGGAACCCUGACGCAGCAACGCCGCGUGCAGGAAGAAGGUCUUCGGAUUGUAAACUGUUGUCGCAAGGGAAGAAGACAGUGACGGUACCUUGUGAGAAAGUCACGGCUAACUACGUGCCAGCAGCCGCGGUAAUACGUAGGUGGCAAGCGUUAUCCGGAAUGAUUGGGCGUAAAGGGUGCGCAGGCGGCGUGGCAAGUCUGAAGUGAAAGGUACGGGCUCAACCUGUACAGGCUUUGGAAACUGCCACGCUCGAGGACAGGG